AAUGCUAGUUGUAAAUUUUUUCUUCAAGUUUACUUAAAUCAAUGGUCUAUUCCUUUAAAUUUACUUCAGGUUCUUGAAAUGGUAGAGCUAAGCAUGUGAUGUAGCUUGAUCCUUGAGGUUUUGUUUCUAUUUUAUUGUCAUGUUAAUAGCGGUAGUGGUAUACUCUUCUUUUUAGGGUUUCCCUCAAUUAUUUUGUUUUUCCUUUUCUAUUGAUUGAGGUCUCACUUUUAAUUCUAUCAAUUGUAACAACACAUUCCAAUUUCAUCACUUGUGAUCAGUAUUGUACUUGUUUUAUUUUGAAUUCCCCAAUUUAGAAUUCGCAUUAAGAAUGUUUUUGUGAUUUUUGUCCAGGUUUAGGCAGUUGAAAUAGGAUUAGCUUUUUCAAAUGGAGGACAAUGAACUUGAUUUCUCGCCUCUGGUCUGUGUUCAUCUUCUAGCUGCUAAGUUUGCGUUCAUCUUCCUCCAUGUUGGGUUUGCGUUCAUAGCUGUCCUCGAUGGGUGUAUCUCCUUGUCGAGAUGGAUACU
rnacentral:lncRNA from 1 species